UGGGAACCUUCCCUAUGGUUCGGAAUAGCCCAGGGAAACUUGGGGUAAUACCGAAUAAGCCCUUCGGGGGAAAGAUUUAUCGCCAUUGGAUGGGCCCGCGUCGGAUUAGCUAGUUGGUGGGGUAACGGCCCACCAAGGCGACGAUCCGUAGCUGGUCUGAGAGGAUGAUCAGCCACACUGGGACUGAGACACGGCCCAGACUCCUACGGGAGGCAG
rnacentral:rRNA from 1 species